AGAACCAGGGAUCAACAACAACUCGCGUCGCUUUCCCUAUGUGCAUAUCACUCGACUCUCAUUUAAGCCAGAUGUGUUAACCUGAUCCCUGCGAAACACCAGCUCUCCGUGGAUUUUGACCGCGAGUGACCGGAUGUUGUUUCCGGCCUGAGGUUGCCUGAAAUGCCGUGAGGCUCGUUUGAAAGAUUGCGCCCGAGACCAACUCCGCCUCCAAGGCGUGCCUACCUUUAGCUGCCACCAGUGAGAUAUCAGAGCCGGGCUCCACAUAUCCAAUCAGGAGCACGAGCAAGACAGCUUUUGCAGACUCUCCAGAAAUAUACAAGUCCUUACCAACUGCUCUGCAACCCAGUGUUUCUGGUCCCCUCACCAACAUCGCUUUUUGAGAUAUUUUUUUUACGAACCACCAAAAAAGCAAUUUUACCCCCCAGUACAGAAGACUGGAUCUGAGGGCAGCAGCGGGGACAAAUGAUUGUAAUGAAGCGACAGACAUUUCAUGGCUGGUCUUAGAUAAUUGUGAGUCAUUGUGUCUUAUGGUGAAAAGUACAUAGUUUUGCAAGAGGCAUACAAGCACUGUGGAAAAAGUAAUCAUAAAACUGUUUUUGUGAACACUCUGCUCCCUACGUUAUGCUUUAAAAAAUGUGAUACAUGUAAUGUGAUCAUCAAAGAACAUGACUUUUUUAAAACUUUUAUUCUUAUGCUUUUAAACUAUGUCACAUUAUCAUAAAAUACUUAUUUGUAUGUUAUAAUGUUUUUCUUACACCAUGUGUAAUUUUCAUUCACACCUUGUUCAUUGUAUCAAUGUGUAAUUAUGUAUCUUUGAUAAAUAAAUAAAAUAUUUAAUCUUG